rnacentral:rRNA from 1 species
GUAAGGACGCGUAGGCGGGAAGCCAAGUCUGAUGUGAAAUCCUAUGGCUUAACCAUAGAACUGCAUUGGAAACUGGUUACCUAGAGUAUGGGAGGGGGAGAUGGAAUUAGUGGUGUAGGGGUAAAAUCCGUAGAUAUCACUAGGAAUACCGAAAGCGAAGGCGAUCUCCUGGAACAAUACUGACGCUAAGGCGUGAAAGCGUGGGGAGCAAACGGGAUUAGAUACCCCGGUAGUCCACGCCCUAAACGAUGUUCACUAGUCGUCGGAAUGCUAGUCAUUUCGGUGAUGCACUUAACAGAUUAAGUGAACCGCCUGGGGAGUACGGUCGCAAGAUUAAAACUCAAAGGAAUAGACGGGGACCCGCACAAGUGGUGGAGCAUGUGGUUUAAUUCGAAGAUACGCGAAGAACCUUACCUAGCCCUGACAUUGAAGAAACACUUUAGAGAUAGAGUGGUGCCCUUCGGGGAAUCUGAAAACAGGUGCUGCACGGCUGUCGUCAGCUCGUGUCGUGAGAUGUUGGGUUAAGUCCCGCAACGAGCGCAACCCUCGUCCUUAGUUGCCAGCAGGUUAAGCUGGGCACUUUAAGGAGACUGCCUUCGCAAGGAGGAGGAAGGUGAGGACGACGUCAAGUCAUCAUGGCCCUUAUGGCUAGGGCUACACACGUGCUACAAUGGGGCGUACAGAGAGUUGCGAUACCGCGAGGUGGAGCCAAUCUCAUAAAGCGUCUCUCAGUUCGGAUUGGAGUCUGCAACUCGACUCCAUGAAGCUGGAAUCACUAGUAAUCGUAGAUCAGCAAUGCUACGGUGAAUACGUU